GGGCCCGCACAAGCGGUGGAGUAUGUGGUUUAAUUCGAAGAUACGCGCAGAACCUUACCAACACUUGACAUGUUCGUCGCGACUUUAAGAGAUUAAAGUUUUCGGUUCGGCCGGACGAAACACAGGUGCUGCAUGGCUGUCGUCAGCUCGUGUCGUGAGAUGUUGGGUUAAGUCCCGCAACGAGCGCAACCCUCACUUUUAGUUGCCAUCAUUAAGUUGGGCACUCUGAAAGAACUGCCAGUGAUAAGCUGGAGGAAGGUGGGGAUGACGUCAAGUCCUCAUGGCCCUUACGUGUUGGGCUACACACGUGCUACAAUGGUAUCUACAACAGGAAGCAAAACUGCGAGGUUAAGCAAAUCCUUAAAAGAUACCUCAGUUCGGAUUGCACUCUGCAACUCGAGUGCAUGAAGCUGGAAUUACUAGUAAUCGUGGAU
rnacentral:rRNA from 1 species